UACGGAGGAUGCGAGCGUUAUCCGGAUUUAUUGGGUUUAAAGGGUGCGUAGGCGGACUGUCAAGUCAGCGGUAAAAUUGAGAGGCUCAACCUCUUCCCGCCGUUGAAACUGGUGGUCUUGAGUGGAUGAGAAGUGCGCGGAAUGCGUGGUGUAGCGGUGAAAUGCAUAGAUAUCACGCAGAACUCCGAUUGCGAAGGCAGCGUACCGGCAUCCAACUGACGCUGAGGCACGAAAGCGUGGGGAUCAAACAGG
rnacentral:rRNA from 1 species